rnacentral:RNase_MRP_RNA from 13 species
GGGAAAUUCCCCGGACACAAGGGCCGAGAGGGCCACACUGGGAACGGUGUUCGGCGCGACGCCGCUCUUUUAGCGACGACGGUCCUUUUGGGACAUGAGUUUGAGAGUCGGCGUUGUAAGAAUGUCGUAGUCAUAGCAAAGUUAUGCUGUUUACAACACAACGGGGAUUAC